rnacentral:misc_RNA from 1 species
AACAUCGCGCACCUGCGGGAACCUGCGGAAGGAUCAUUACAGAGUUGCAAGACUCCCUAAACCAUUGUGAACCUACCUUCUACCGUUGCUUCGGCGGGCGGGCCCAGCGCCCCCCCGGCCCCCCGCGGGCGCCCGCCGGAGGAUACCCAAACUCUUGACAUUAGUGGCCUCUCUGAGUAUUCUUUACUGAAUAAGUCAAAACUUUCAACAACGGAUCU